rnacentral:rRNA from 1 species
UGCCAGCAGCCGCGGUAAUACGAAGGGGGCUGGCGUUGUUCGGAAUAACUGGGCGUAAAGCGCACGUAGGCGGAUUGGAAAGUUAGGGGUGAAAUCCCGAGGCUCAACCUCGGAACUGCCCUUAAAACUAUUAAUCUAGAGAUCGAGAGAGGUGAGUGGAAUUCCGAGUGUAGAGGUGAAAUUCGUAGAUAUUCGGAGGAACACCAGUGGCGAAGGCGGCUCACUGGCUCGAUACUGACGCUGAGGUGCGAAAGCGUGGGGAGCAAACAGGAUUAGAUA